CUGGAUUAGACUCUGGACUCUGUCAUUUGUGAACUUGGACAAAUGACCUAACUUCUCUGGGACUCAAUUUCUUCAUCUUCGAAGGAGGAAUCUUUAAAAAGGGUAUCUCUGCCAGUGAAUUGCUUAGCAUAGUGCCUGGCACAUAGUAAAUCUUCACAAAAUAAUAGCUAUUAUCAUUGUUAUUAAUAUUUCUGAUGGCUUUUCAGUUCUCCUAAGGCCUGGCUUUACUUAGUUCCCUUUCCCAAGAGCCCAUUGUCUGUGUCUUUAUCCUCACCCUCCCUUCCCUUGAGGGAGUCUUGAAGGGCAUGCGCAGGCUGGCGUCCAGUGCAGUGAAAACCAGCUCUACCCUUUAAGACGAGCUCUUGAGAGGUUGGUUUGAGUCAUGUGCAAGAUUUGUUCUUCAUACAGUCACAACAAAAGGAAGAUAUAAAUAAUUCGUACUCCCACCAUGUUGUUUCCUUCUUUCAUCCUCAGGCCCUAUAAGUGUACAUCUGGGUCAUGCUCUAUGAAGAGACUGUUGUUAUCAAUGAGUUCGAUGCAUAUAUUUGUUAGCACUGACAGAUUCAGACACAGAUAUUUUCCACCUCCAAUGUUCAGAUCUGGUGUAGCUGCUGGGAGCCCUGGGCUGGAUAUGUACCCAGGUGACUCAUGGGGAAGGAUGCACCCUUCUGAGAAGCAUCACCUUUCUCAAGAAGCAUGACAGAGCUCCCGAUAUUAGACUUUCAAGACGUCUACCAGGCCUUCUUUGGAAUAAAUUGUGUCAUUGAAUGGGUCUUGCCUCCAAUAAAUCUCUUGCACUUCCAACUCCAUCUUGGCAUCUACUUUCUGGAAACCCCAACUGACCCAUUGUGCAAAAACACCUUUUGAGAGGUUACCCACUUAUUUCUAACGCUCACCUUAAUCCCAGCAAUAAAGGAGGUGAUGUGGGAACCCUUAGAAGUAACUGAUGGAAAGCAAAUAAAGUAGGGAAGAUAAUGAGUAGCUGGCAAUUGGCUCAUAAAUAUCCCUGGCACAGCCUGAGACAGUCCUUGGCUGCCUUUUCUGGAGCUGAAUCUUCCAUUGUGAUGAGAAAGAAGUUGCCAGCAGACACAGGUGUGCAGCCUCACCUCCAG
rnacentral:lncRNA from 1 species